AGAGUUUGAUCCUGGCUCAGAACGUACGCUGGCGGCACGCCUAACACAUGCAAGUCGAACGCAGUAGCAAUACUGAGUGGCGAACGGGUGAGUAUAAUGUGGGUAUCUGCCUUUUGGUUUGGAAUAACACGAGGAAACUUGUGCUAAUACCGAAUAAGCCCUUACGGGGAAAGUUUUAACGCCGAAAGAUGAGCCCGCACUUGAUUAGCUAGUUGGUAGGGUAAUGGCUUACCAAGGCAACGAUCAAUAGCUGAUCUGAGAGGAUGAUCAGCCACAUUGGGACUGAGACACGGCCCAAACUCCUACGGGAGGCAGCAGUGGGGAAUCUUGCACAAUGGGGGAAACCCUGAUGCAGCGAUGCCGCGUGAGUGAAGAAGGCCUUUGGGUUGUAAAGCUCUUUCGUCGGGGAAGAAAAUGACUGUACCCGAAUAAGAAGGUCCGGCUAACUUCGUGCCAGCAGCCGCGGUAAUACGAAGGGACCUAGCGUAGUUCGGAAUUACUGGGCUUAAAGAGCACGUAGGUGGUUAAAAAAGUUGGUGGUGAAAUCCCAAGGCUCAACCUUGGAACUGUCACCAAAACUUUUUAGCUAGAGUGUGAUAGAGGUAAGCGGAAUUUCUAGUGUGGAGGUGAAAUUCGUAGAUAUUAGAAAGAACACCAAUUGCGAAGGCAGCUUUCUGGAUCAUUACUGACACUGAGGUGCGAAAGCAUGGGUAGCGAAGAGGAUUAGAUACCCUCGUAGUCCAUGCCGUAAACGAUGUGUGCUAGACGUUGGGAAUUUAUUUUUCAGUGUCGCAGCAAAAGCGAUAAGCACACCGCCUGGGGAGUACGACCGCAAGGUUAAAACUCAAAUGAAUUGACGGGGACCCGCACAAGUAGUGGAGCAUGUGGUUUAAUUCGAAGAUACGCGCAGAACCUUACCAAUACUUGACAUGUUCGUCGCGACUCUAAGAGAUUAGAGUCUUCGGUUCGGCCGGACGAAACACAGGUGCUGCAUAGCUGUCGUCAGCUCGUGUCGUGAGAUGUUGGGUUAAGUCCCGCAACGAGCGCAACCCUUACUUUUAGUUGCUACCAUUAAGUUGGGCACUCUAAAAGAACUGCCAGUGAUAAGCUGGAGGAAGGUGGGGAUGACGUCAAGUCCUCAUGGCCCUUACGUGUUGGGCUACACACGUGCUACAAUGGUACUCACAAUGAGAUGCGAAGAGGCGACUCUAAGCUAAUCCCAAAAAAGUACCUCAGUUCGGAUUGCACUCUGCAACUCGAGUGCAUGAAGCUGGAAUUACUAGUAAUCGUGGAUCAGCGCGCCACGGUGAAUACGUUCCCGGGUCUUGUACACACCGCCCGU
rnacentral:rRNA from 1 species